UACGUAGGGACCAAGCGUUGUUCGGAUUUACUGGGCGUAAAGGGCGCGUAGGCGGCGUGUUAAGUCAGUUGUAAAAUCUCCAAGCUUAACUUGGAACGGUCAACUGAUACUGAUGUGCUAGAGUGCAGAAGGGGCAACCGGAAUUCUUGGUGUAGCGGUGAAAUGCGUAGAUAUCAAGAGGAACACCUGAGGUGAAGACGGGUUGCUGGGCUGACACUGACGCUGAGGCGCGAAAGCAUGGGGAGCGAACAGG
rnacentral:rRNA from 1 species